rnacentral:rRNA from 1 species
GACAGAGGUGCCGAGCGUUAGGCGGAAUCACUGGGCUUAAAGCGUGUGUAGGCGGGUCGUUAAGUACCUUGUGAAAUCCCACGGCUUAACCGUGGAACUGCUCGGUAUACUGGCGAUCUUGAGCCACUUAGGGGUCAGCGGAACAAAUGGUGGAGCGGUGAAAUGCGUAGAUAUUCGCAAGAACACCAGUGGCGAAGGCGGCUCACUGGCCCGAUACUGACGCUGAGGCACGAAAGCGUGGGGAGCAAACAGG